rnacentral:rRNA from 1 species
ACACGACUCUCGGCAACGGAUAUCUCGGCUCUCGCAUCGAUGAAGAACGUAGCGAAAUGCGAUACCUGGUGUGAAUUGCARAAUCCCGCGAACCAUCGAGUCUUUGAACGCAAGUUGCGCCCAAGGCCUUUUGGCUGAGGGCACGCCUGCCUGGGCGUCACGC